AAAUUGAAGAGUUUGAUCAUGGCUCAGAUUGAACGCUGGCGGCAGGCCUAACACAUGCAAGUCGAACGGUAACAGGAAGCAGCUUGCUGCUUUGCUGACGAGUGGCGGACGGGUGAGUAAUGUCUGGGAAACUGCCUGAUGGAGGGGGAUAACUACUGGAAACGGUGGCUAAUACCGCAUAACGUCGCAAGACCAAAGAGGGGGACCUUCGGGCCUCUUGCCAUCAGAUGUGCCCAGAUGGGAUUAGCUUGUUGGUGAGGUAACGGCUCACCAAGGCGACGAUCCCUAGCUGGUCUGAGAGGAUGACCAGCCACACUGGAACUGAGACACGGUCCAGACUCCUACGGGAGGCAGCAGUGGGGAAUAUUGCACAAUGGGCGCAAGCCUGAUGCAGCCAUGCCGCGUGUAUGAAGAAGGCCUUCGGGUUGUAAAGUACUUUCAGCGGGGAGGAAGGUGUUGCGGUUAAUAACCGCAGCAAUUGACGUUACCCGCAGAAGAAGCACCGGCUAACUCCGUGCCAGCAGCCGCGGUAAUACGGAGGGUGCAAGCGUUAAUCGGAAUUACUGGGCGUAAAG
rnacentral:rRNA from 1 species